UUUACCCCCACCUGCUGGAUAGCCUACUCGAUCUUCCCAACCAUGUCAGCAUUAUGGUCGCUCACAUGAUGAAUUACCCUGUCAGUGUAUCAAUCAUGCCUGCUAUCAAUGCGGAAGCACCCAACAUCUUAUAAAGGACUACCCUCAGCAGCCGAAGGACAUGGUCAAACCUGUAACCCAAGAUCGUGUGUACCACCUAGAUGAACCCAGUGCCCUCCCU
rnacentral:lncRNA from 1 species